rnacentral:rRNA from 1 species
AUUGAACGCUGGCGGCAUGCCUUACACAUGCAAGUCGAACGGCAGCACGGGUGCUUGCACCUGGUGGCGAGUGGCGAACGGGUGAGUGAUACAUCGGAACGUACCUUAUCGUGGGGGAUAACGCAGCGAAAGUUGCGCUAAUACCGCAUACGCCCUGAGGGGGAAAGCGGGGGACCGUAAGGCCUCGCGCGAUUAGAGCGGCCGAUGUCUGAUUAGCUUGUUGGUGAGGUAAAAGCUCACCAAGGCGAUGAUCAGUAGCUGGGCCGAGAGGACGAUCAGCCACACUGGGCCUGAGACACGGCCCAGACUCCUACGGGAGGCAGCAGUGGGGAAUUUUGGACAAUGGGGGCAACCCUGAUCCAGCAAUGCCGCGUGAGUGAAGAAGGCCUUCGGGUUGUAAAGCUCUUUUGUCAGGGAAGAAACAGCAGCUCUAACACAGUCUGCGAAUGACGGUACCUGAAGAAUAAGCACCGGCUAACUACGUGCCAGCCGCCGCGGUAA